GGUCAUUAUUUGUAAGCACACACACAUACACACACUUCAUCUCCUCCCCAUAGCUCUCGCUGAUUUGCCAUUCGCUCAUCCAGUCAAAAUUAAAUUUACAAAUCCGAGAGUUUAAGGAGCUCCCUGCAAACACUCAGAAUCCUCUGUCACUUACAGUCUCACACAGAUACAGGGGUGGAAUUAUCAGCUCUGACAUAUUUGAGAUCCUGCAGCACAUCAAAAAGAUGGGAGUGGAAAGUCCUGAGCAUUCAGAUGCUGAUUUCACCUAUGAUUAUGAGUUAAUCAGAAGAGGAGGACUGAUCUUCGCAGCUGUUUUGUUCUGUUUGGGCAUGGUUAUCAUAUUCAGCAAAAAACUCAGAUGUGGAAAGUCCUCUGCUACGCAUGAAGAUAAUGGUGAUCUUUGACCUCUUCUUCGUUAACCUUCACUGCUUUAACUUUCUGUCAGGAGAGUGUUCUUAAAUGACAUUUAAAAGGUAUUGGGACACUUCAAUAUUUUCACCAAGGAUGACAAUAUCUUUUUCACUUUUGGGUUUCAACUUACAUCCAUAUAUAGUCUGCUGAAUACUGUAAUUUUUUUAGUUCACAAGAUCUGACACAAUGUAUGCAAUCACAAUAAAAUGUUCAAAAUGACUCAUAAA